CAAGUCUUUGCCAGCAGGACCCAGAGGCUCGUGGUGGGAAUUUCUAUUCACUGCCACAUGGAGCAGGAUAUUGGUGUUAUAUACAUGGAGUCCAUUUAAAAUUCUUUUUCACAUGUUUUCCCAUUGCUGCCUGAUUCUUUUCUUUUCUCCAGGGAAGGGGUGACAGCUGAUAUGCCCUGAUGUGUCAGGGCUGGGGAUCUAACAUGCUGGACCCAUCCAGGGGGUACCUAUGGACACCAACUCAGCCUUGGGACCCACCACAGCCCCACACCUCUGCCCAGGGAUGGAAAAUGCACCCACAGCUGCCAGCCCGCAGGAAAACAAGCCUGUGGAAAUCAUCCCUUGAUCACAGAAUCAUUUAUGUCGGGACCUAAGACCUCUGAGAUCAUUCCAACCUUUGACUGAUCACCACCAUUUCAACUAAACCACAGCCCUAAGUACCAGAUCCAGCAAUUUAUUGGACACCUCCAGGGAUGCUGGCUUCAUCACCUCCCUGGGCAACCUACUCCAAUGUCUUACAACCUUUUCCAUGAGAAAAUUCCUCCUGAUGUCUGAUGGGAAUCUCUAAAGGAGCAAAUGGAUGCUGUGACCUCUUGUCCUAUCGUGCGUUGUCCGGGAGAAGAGCCUGACCCCCACCUGGAUCUACUUUCAAAUUGUUAGAGGGACAAGAUCUCCCCUGAGCCUCCUUUUCUCCAGGCUGAACACCCUCAGCUCCCUCAACUGCUCCUCAAAGGACUUCACCAGACCUGUUGUGAUUCCAACACCUCAAUGUCUUUCUUGAAAUGAAGGAAACAGCUGCUGAAUCUACUUCCUACACAGAUUCUUAUUUCACUGCAGACCUAAAGUGUGUAAUUUCAAAUGUAAAUAUUUCUGUAUGUGUGUCUGAUGUUAACAGGCUUCCAAUGGCAGCAUCAAUUGUGAGCUGAGUCUGUUAAGUGCUAUAUAUUUUGUAAUUUGUUAGGUAACUUUCACACAUACCUUUAUCUAGAGUCUUAUUUUAACUACUGCCGAUGGAAAAUGAGAAGAACACCACUCUAACCUCAUAUAAAAUGUGAUUGCAGUGGUCUUCUCUUCAUUGUCAUCAGCAGUAGUGGUCUGGUAUAUGAGAAUUCUGACACUUAAAAGCACAUUCUGGAAGUGUGGUGCUGAGUGAGAUGAAAAAGGAAUUGAGCAGCAGUGAGCUUAAAUUGACUCAUUUCAUGUAGUCAUUACCUUACAAGUCUUGUAGCACUGGUUCAUUGAAAUUCCCAUUAUUGCCAUCAGUAGCUGGGGAAACUCUUAUACAAUAAAAGUAUUGUGCCAAUUCUUUCCA
rnacentral:lncRNA from 1 species